UCCGGCUUGCCACCGGCAGUUCCACUAGAGUGCCCAGCUUAACCUGAUGGCAACUAGUAGCGAGGGUUGCGCUCGUUGCGGGACUUAACCCAACAUCUCACGACACGAGCUGACGACAGCCAUGCAGCACCUGUGUUCCAGCCAGCCGAACUGAAGGACCGCAUCUCUGCAGCCCAAACUGGACAUGUCAAACGUGGGUAAGGUUCUUCGCGUUGCUUCGAAUUAAACCACAUGCUCCGCCGCUUGUGCGGGCCCCCGUCAAUUUCUUUGAGUUUUAACCUUGCGGCCGUACUCCCCAGGCGGAGAGCUUAAUGCGUUAGCUGCGAGGAAGGUGGGGAUGACGUUUACGUGCACUU
rnacentral:misc_RNA from 1 species